AUUGAACGCUGGCGGAAUGCUUUACACAUGCAAGUCGAGCGGCAGCGCGGGGCAACCUGGCGGCGAGCGGCGAACGGGUGAGUAAUACAUCGGAACGUACCCAGUUGUGGGGGAUAGCCCGGCGAAAGCCGGAUUAAUACCGCAUACGACCUGAGGGUGAAAGGGGGGGAUCGCAAGACCUCUCGCAGUUGGAGCGGCCGAUGGCGGAUUAGCUAGUUGGUAGGGUAAAGGCCUACCAAGGCGACGAUCCGUAGCGGGUCUGAGAGGACGACCCGCCACACUGGAACUGAGACACGGUCCAGACUCCUACGGGAGGCAGCAGUGGGGAAUUUUGGACAAUGGGGGCAACCCUGAUCCAGCCAUUCCGCGUGAGUGAAGAAGGCCUUCGGGUUGUAAAGCUCUUUCGGCAGGAACGAAACGGUCCUUUCUAAUAAAGAGGGCUAAUGACGGUACCUGAAGAAGAAGCACCGGCUAACUACGUGCCAGCCGCCGCCGUAAGAC
rnacentral:rRNA from 1 species